rnacentral:rRNA from 1 species
GUGGGGAAUAUUGGACAAUGGGCGCAAGCCUGAUCCAGCAAUGCCGCGUGUGUGAAGAAGGUCUUCGGAUCGUAAAGCACUUUCGACGGGGACGAUGAUGACGGUACCCGUAGAAGAAGCCCCGGCUAACUUCGUGCCAGCAGCCGCGGUAAUACGAAGGGGGCUAGCGUUGCUCGGAAUUACUGGGCGUAAAGGGCGCGUAGGCGGCUCUGUGAGUCAGGCGUGAAAUUCCUGGGCUUAACCUGGGGACUGCGCUUGAUACUGCAGGGCUUGAGGCCGAGAGAGGGUGGUGGAAUUCCCAGUGUAGAGGUGAAAUUCGUAGAUAUUGGGAAGAACACCGGUGGCGAAGGCGACCACCUGGCUCGGUACUGACGCUGAGGCGCGACAGCGUGGGGAGCAAACAGGAUUAGAAACCCUGGUAGUCC